rnacentral:lncRNA from 1 species
UCUCAACAGCUGUCCUGAGAGCAUGUCUCUACAUCUCUACCUGCAUUCUGGAAUCAGGGAGAAAGCCAAAACGGACGACAAGACACUAGAUCAGCCGUGUCCAACCCUUUGCCUACAAGGACUUUUCCACCUAUCUGUGGUGGAAACCCCUUGAGGUUAAGACCCCACAAUCACAUGAGGAUGGAGUGGCUCACCCUCAGUCAACAGGCCAGACUCAAGGGGUUCCUGGCAAGUCAUUUCUCCCUCAGGCCUUCGGUUUCCUCACCUACAAGAUGAGAGGGCUGGACCAGAUGGAAAUUCAGGGGGUAAGGGGAUGUCCUCACGCAGCCCACCCCCACCCCCACGGGACCCUGGAGCCUCCAUCCCAGUUCCCACCACGCACCCGCUCCACAAAUCCUGCCCAAGGUG